UGGAUUGGGGUUCAACCAUCACACCUGGGAGACUGCCAACAUGAUCACCUCGAAUACACUCAUGAAAAGCAGUGGAUUGAGAGGGAUUCCCAGAGCCACAAAGCACUAGUGAACAUUGUCCUCAACAAGCGCUGGCAGAAGGAUGUCCACAAGUAUCUGCGCUUCAGAUCAACAGCACACCUUGAGUCAUUUCAGAAUCACAUUCUGAUGUAUGCCAGCAAGCGCCAGGCAUUCACUCCCCGAGGGUAUGACUCAAGAGUUUUGCUCGCAGCUCUGGACUACAAUUUCCACCACAAACGGCAAACUUACAGGACGGCUGAGGGCCAAGUUCUUAGGAAGAAGUACAAUAAGAAUGCCAGAAGAUACAGCCUAUACGCCUUAAAAUGUGAGAAAUCAUAUGAUUACAUCCCUGAGCUGCAAGUGCGUAUUGUGAAUGGAAGAGUUGCAAGCGGGGUUGGGAUGCCACGAAAGAGGACCCUACGCCCGGAUGACCCAAGGCAGCUUGGUGUUGUGCCCCCAAUACCUCCACCACCGAUGUCAGAGUUGGUACGCACGCAUGUCAGCAGAGGCCUAGGAUCAGCCCUCGAUGCUGCUAGCCACAUGGAGGCCGAUUGAGCAGUUGUUUGGUGUUGCUGGUGUUUGAGGUGUAAACAUUUUUG